UACGUAGGGUGCGAGCGUUGCCCGGAUUUAUUGGGCGUAAAGGGCGCGUAGGCGGCUACGCACGUCCGUUGUGAAAUCGCUCGGCUCAACUGGGCGGGGUCAGCGGAUACGGCGUAGCUGGAGCAAGCUAGGGGGCAAUGGAAUUCCCGGUGUAGUGGUGGAAUGCGUAGAUAUCGGGAGGAACACCAGUGGCGAAGGCGGUUGCCUGGAGCUUUGCUGACGCUGAGGCGCGACAGCGUGGGGAGCAAACGAGG
rnacentral:rRNA from 1 species